UACGUAGGGUGCAAGCGUUGUCCGGAAUUAUUGGGCGUAAAGAGCUCGUAGGCGGUUUGUCGCGUUCUGCUGUGAAAACGCGAGGCUCAACCUCGCGCCUGCAGUGGGUACGGGCAGACUAGAGUGUGGUAGGGGAGAUUGGAAUUCCGUGGUGUAGCGGUGAAAUGCGCAGAUAUCAGGAGGAACACCAAUGGCGAAGGCAGCACUCUGGGACGUGACUGACGCUGAGAGCGAAAGCGUGG
rnacentral:rRNA from 1 species